CUGGGCAUGGCAGCAAAGGCCUG
rnacentral:piRNA from 1 species